rnacentral:rRNA from 1 species
ACAAGUGAAUAAGUGCACAUGGUGGAUGCCUUGGCGAUUACAGGCGAUGAAGGACGUUGUAGCCUGCGAUAAGCUGCGGGGAGCUGGCAAACAAGCUUUGAUCCGCAGAUUUCCGAAUGGGGAAACCCGGCCGAAAGGUCAUCACACACUGAAUACAUAGGUGUGUGAAGCGAACGUGGCGAACUGAAACAUCUAAGUAGCUACAGGAAAAGAAAUCAACCGAGAUUCCCAAAGUAGUGGCGAGCGAAAUGGGAUCAGCCUGCAAGAUUUAGCAUCAUUGAUAGCAAAGCGCUCUGGAAAGUGCGGCCAUAGAGGGUGAUAGCCCCGUAUGCGAAAUCAGUGGUGUGGAACUAAGCUUGCGACAAGUAGGGCGGGACACGUGAAAUCCUGUCUGAAGAUGGGGGGACCAUCCUCCAAGGCUAAAUACUCGUAAUCGACCGAUAGUGAACCAGUACCGUGAGGGAAAGGCGAAAAGAACCCCGGGAGGGGAGUGAAAUAGAUCCUGAAACCGCAUGCAUACAAACAGUGGGAGCCCUGUAAGGGGUGACUGCGUACCUUUUGUAUAAUGGGUCAGCGACUUACGUUCAGUUGCGAGCUUAACCGAAUAGGGGAGGCGUAGCGAAAGCGAGUCCGAAUAGGGCGAUAGUAGCUGGGCGUAGACCCGAAACCAAGUGAUCUAUCCAUGGCCAGGAUGAAGGUGCCGUAACAGGUACUGGAGGUCCGAACCCACUAAUGUUGAAAAAUUAGGGGAUGAGCUGUGGAUAGGGGUGAAAGGCUAAACAAACUUGGAAAUAGCUGGUUCUCCCCGAAAACUAUUUAGGUAGUGCCUCGUGUAUUACUCUGGGGGGUAGAGCACUGUCAUCGUUGGGGGGGUCAUUGCGAUUUACCCCGCGAUAGCAAACUCCGAAUACCCAGAAGUAUGAGCACGGGAGACAGACAGCGGGUGCUAACGUCCGUUGUCGAGAGGGAAACAACCCAGACCGCCAGCUAAGGUCCCAAAUGAUAAGCUAAGUGGUAAACGAAGUGGGAAGGCAUAGACAGCUAGGAGGUUGGCUUAGAAGCAGCCACCCUUUAAAGAAAGCGUAAUAGCUCACUAGUCGAGUCGUCCUGCGCGGAAGAUGUAACGGGGCUCAAGCUUAUAACCGAAGCUGCGGAUGUACUAUGUACAUGGUAGGGGAGCGUUCUGUAGGCCUGUGAAGGUGGCUUGUAAAGGCUGCUGGAGGUAUCAGAAGUGCGAAUGCUGACAUGAGUAGCGAUAAAACGGGUGAAAAGCCCGUUCGCCGAAAACCCAAGGUUUCCUACGCAACGUUCAUCGGCGUAGGGUGAGUCGGCUCCUAAGGCGAGGCAGAAAUGCGUAGUCGAUGGGAAACAGGUCAAUAUUCCUGUACCACUAUUCAAUGCGAUGGGGGGACGGAGAAAGUUAGGUCAGCCGGGUGUUGGACGUCCCGGUUUAAGCGUGUAGUCGUGCUGCAUAGGCAAAUCCGUGCGGCUUAGAUGAGGCGUGACGACGAGCGCACAUGUGCGCGAAGUGAUUGAUACUCAGCUUCCAGGAAAAGCCUCUAAGCUUCAGUUGAAUAGUGACCGUACCGCAAACCGACACAGGUGGGUAGGUAGAGAAUACCAAGGCGCUUGAGAGAACUCAGGAGAAGGAACUCGGCAAAUUAGCACCGUAACUUCGGGAGAAGGUGCGCCCUUGUAGGUUGUAGUCCCUCGCGGACGAAGGCCGAAGGGGUUGCAGUGAAAUGGUGGCUGCGACUGUUUAAUAAAAACACAGCUCUCUGCUAACACGAAAGUGGACGUAUAGGGAGUGACGCCUGCCCGGUGCCGGAAGGUUAAGUGAUGGGGUGCAAGCUCUUGAUCGAAGCCCCGGUAAACGGCGGCCGUAACUAUAACGGUCCUAAGGUAGCGAAAUUCCUUGUCGGGUAAGUUCCGACCUGCACGAAUGGCGUAACGAUGGCCACACUGUCUCCUCCUGAGACUCAGCGAAGUUGAAAUG